CCUACGGGUGGCAGCAGUGGGGAAUAUUGCACAAUGGGGGAAACCCUGAUGCAGCGACGCCGCGUGAGUGAAGAAGGAAUUCGUUAUGUAAAGCUCUAUCAGCAGGGAAGAAAAUGACGGUACCUAAGUAAGAAGCACCGGCGAACUACUGGCCAGCAGCCGCGGUAAUACGUAGGGGGAAAACGUUAUCCGGAUUUACUGGGUGUAAAGGGAGCGUAGACGGCAGUGCAAGUCUGGAGUGAAAGGCGGGGGCGCAACCCCCGGACUGUUCUGGAAACUGUCAGGCUGGAGUGCAUGAGAGGUAAGUGGAAUUCCUAGUGUAGCGGUGAAAUGCGUAGAUAUUAGGAGGAACACCAGUGGCGAAGGCGGCUUACUGGACUGUAACUGACGUUGAGGCUCGAAAGCGUGGGGAGCAAACAGGAUUAGAUACCCUUGUAGUC
rnacentral:rRNA from 1 species